rnacentral:rRNA from 1 species
CCACAUUGGGACUGAAACACGGCCCAAACUCCUACGGGAGGCAGCAGUAGGGAAUCUUCCGCAAUGGACGCAAGUCUGACGGAGCAACGCCGCGUGAGUGAAGAAGGUUUUCGGAUCGUAAAACUCUGUUGUUAGAGAAGAACAAGUGCUAGAGUAACUGUUAGCGCCUUGACGGUAUCUAACCAGAAAGCCACGGCUAACUACGUGCCAGCAGCCGCGGUAAUACGUAGGUGGCAAGCGUUGUCCGGAUUUAUUGGGCGUAAAGCGAGCGCAGGCGGUUCCUUAAGUCUGAUGUGAAAGCCCCCGGCUCAACCGGGGAGGGUCAUUGGAAACUGGGGAACUUGAGUGCAGAAGAGGAGAGUGGAAUUCCAUGUGUAGCGGUGAAAUGCGUAGAUAUAUGGAGGAACACCAGUGGCGAAGGCGACUCUCUGGUCUGUAACUGACGCUGAGGCUCGAAAGCGUGGGUAGCAAACAGG